ACUCAAAUGAAUUGACGGGGGAGCACCACAAGGGGUGAAGCUUGCGGUUUAAUUGGAGUCAACGCCGGAAAUCUCACCGGGAGCGACAGCAGUAUGAAGGCCAGAUUGAAGGUCUUGCUAGACGAGCUGAGAGGAGGUGCAUGGCCGUCGCCAGUUCGUGCCGUGAGGUGUCCUGUUAAGUCAGGCAACGAUCGAGACCCGCAUCCUCUGUUGCAACUAGCUUUGAGCUGGGCACACUGAGGAGACCGCCACUGAUAAAGUGGAGGAAGGAGCGGGCCACGGCAGGUCAGUAUGCCCCGAAUCUCCCGGGCCACACGCGAGCUGCAAUGGCAGGUACAAUGGGUCCCGACCUCGAAAGGGGAAGGUAAUCUCGAAAACCUGCCGUAGUUGGGAUUGAGGGUUGAAACCCACCCUCAUGAACAUGGAAUCCCUAGUAAUCGCGUGUCACUAACGCGCGGUGAAUACGUCCCUGCUCCUUGCACACACCGCCCGU
rnacentral:rRNA from 1 species